CAAGUUAAAUUCUAGGAAUGUUAUUACUUACAAUAAUAAUUAGGUUUGUGCGAAUCAGCCUAGCUUGA
rnacentral:tRNA from 1 species